GGCCAAAACAUGAUAUUAGAUUUUUGGCAUUUUUGGUAUCUUAGUUUGUUUUCUAAUUAAAGCUAUGCAUGAUACCGAGAGUUUCAAGUUUGGAAACAUAACAUUUGAAUUAAAGGAUUAUUUAAAAAUGUGAUUUGACUUCUAUGGCUUGAAGUUUCCCUAAAAAGUUUUUAAAUAGCCUUUAAGAAACACUUCUUUAAUAGUUUUUAUAGAGUGCUACUUGUAGACAACCGUCUUUCGUUGCUAGCUAGGUUUCCAAGAGUUCGAUUGAAAAUGGCUUUCGAGGAGCUAAACCCAUGGGAACACUCCAUUCAUUCAUCAUUGUGUACAAUACAAGAGUUAUAUGUAUGUAGGGGUGCAACCACACGGCUCAAAUAAUGUGUGGAUGGGAAAGGCGAUUGGUGGCUUGGGUAAAGUACUUCCCGAAGGAGUGAUUUCGAGGCCCCAUCCGACGGAGUAUUCCGGAUGACUCAGCCUUCGGGCGGCCUUCAGGUCCUCUGAGGGAUCGAGCCUAACGUGUUACCAGACAGAGUUAUAAAGUAGAUAGUCCUAGACAGUUUCUAUUUCUUUUGGAGAUUGUAAUAUAUAACAUAUUAUGUUUUUAGUUAUGUAUGGAUGGUAUGGGAAAUAGUUAGAAACUCUGGUAAGUAUUAGAUGAUGUAUGUAUUUUCGCUGUGUAUGUUUAUAUAAAUCAGUAUGGAACAUCUAUUUUUCCCUUGUUA